rnacentral:rRNA from 1 species
AGAGUUUGAUCCUGGCUCAGAAUCAACGCUGGCGGCGCGCCUAACACAUGCAAGUCGAACGAGAAAGCCGCAAGGUGAGUAAAGUGGCGUACGGGUGAGUAACACGUGGAUAAUCUGCCCUUUAGUGGGGAAUACCGCUGGGAAACCGGCGACAAUACCGCAUAAGCUCGAGAGAGGAAAGCAGCAAUGCGCUGAAGGAGGAGUCCGCGGUCGAUUAGUUAGUUGGCGGGGUAAAGGCCCACCAAGACUGUGAUCGAUAGCCGGCCUGAGAGGGCACACGGCCACACUGGCACUGAAACACGGGCCAGACUCCUACGGGAGGCAGCAGUGGGGAAUCUUGCACAAUGGGGGAAACCCUGAUGCAGCGACGCCGCGUGAGCGAUGAAGCCCCUCGGGGUGUAAAGCUCUUUCGGCAGGGAAGAUUAUGACGGUACCUGCAAAAGCAGCUGCGGCUAACUACGUGCCAGCAGCCGCGGUAAUACGUAGGCAGCAAGCGUUGUUCGGAGUUACUGGGCGUAAAGGGUGUGUAGGCGGCUUUUUAAGUUUGGUGUGAAAUCUCCCGGCUCAACUGGGAGGGUGCGCCGAAUACUGAGAGGCUAGAGUGUGGGAGAGGAAAGUGGAAUUCCUGGUGUAGCGGUGAAAUGCGUAGAUAUCAGGAGGAACACCGGUGGUGUAAACGGCUUUCUGGACCGUAACUGACGCUGAGACACGAAAGCGUGGGUAGCAAACAGGAUUAGAUACCCUGUAGUCCACGCCCUAAACGAUGCAUAUUUGGUGUGGGCCAUUCAUUUGGUCCGUGCCGGAGCUAACGCGUUAAAUAUGCCGCCUGGAAGUACAGUCGCA